GACGAACGCUGGCGGCGUGCUUAACACAUGCAAGUCGAGCGGUAAGGCCCUUUCGGGGGUACACGAGCGGCGAACGGGUGAGUAACACGUGGGUGACCUGCCCUCAGCUCUGGGAUAAGCCUGGGAAACCGGGUCUAAUACUGGAUAUGACUCCAUGACGCAUGUUGUGGGGUGGAAAGCCUUGUGCGGCUGAGGAUGGGCCCGCGGCCUAUCAGCUUGUUGGUGGGGGAUGGCCUACCAAGGCGACGACGGGUAGCCGGCCUGAGAGGGCGACCGGCCACACUGGGACUGAGACACGGCCCAGACUCCUACGGGAGGCAGCAGUGGGGAAUCUUGCGCAAUGGGCGAAAGCCUGACGCAGCGACGCCGCGUGAGGGAUGACGGCCUGGUGUAACGUAC
rnacentral:rRNA from 1 species